CUAUUUCUCCCUGACUUCUGUUGUUGAUAAAAUAGUUGAUACUGUUAACUUCGAUGUCAAUGCAAAGGGGGAUAGAUCUGCCCUCAAAUCUCUAUCUUGGUGAUGAUGGUGAAUCGAUGGUAGAUGACUAUGUACGUUAUAUAUACAUACGUGGGACGGCACCAGUGAUGCCAAUCUUAUUAAAGAAGAAGAGAAUUGACCCAAAAACCUUAACAACUGACCGGCUGAAAACCGGUAGACAACCCCGACCUCAUAUGUCAAAAAAUAUCCAUGUCCCUUGCCUUGGUUUUCAUCUCAGCUACGAUUACUUCUAUAUGGGUGGCAUGCCCUGCCAUGAAAUAUGUGUAAUUGAGCACCGAGGUUUGAAGAAAUGUGGACCCUUGUCCUUCCUGUGCUAGAAGUUCUCUUUCCAGUUGUUGCAACUGUCAGUAACAAACUUCCAAUUGAUGUGUAUUGGUUGAAUUCGUUGUUAUUGCUGCCGGCGUUAUGGGCAUAAUGUUUUGCCUCAUGCCGAGUUAAGCGUUCAUUUCUUUGGUGUCUUCAUGCUCAUCCCUGAAAUAACAUUGUCCGUGCACCUUGAGUCCGGAAAAAUGAACAGCAACGUUAAAGUCUCA